rnacentral:rRNA from 1 species
UACGCAGGGGGCUAGCGUUGCUCGGAAUUACUGGGCGUAAAGCGCACGUAGGCGGAUCGUUAAGUCAGGGGUGAAAUCCUGGAGCUCAACUCCAGAACUGCCUUUGAUACUGGCGACCUUGAGUUCGGGAGAGGUGAGUGGAACUGCGAGUGUAGAGGUGAAAUUCGUAGAUAUUCGCAAGAACACCAGUGGCGAAGGCGGCUCACUGGCCCGAUACUGACGCUGAGGUGCGAAAGCGUGGGGAGCAAACAGG